rnacentral:rRNA from 1 species
CACGUAGGGUGCGAGCGUUUGUCCGGAAUUAUUGGGCGUAAAGAGCUCGUAGGCGGUUUGUCGCGUCUGCUGUGAAAGUCCGGGGCUCAACUCCGGAUCUGCGGUGGGUACGGGCAGACUAGAGUGAUGUAGGGGAGACUGGAAUUCCUGGUGUAGCGGUGAAAUGCGCAGAUAUCAGGAGGAACACCGGUGGCGAAGGCGGAUCUCUGGGCUAUUACUGACGCUGAGGAGCGAAAGCGUGGGGAGCGAACAGG